rnacentral:rRNA from 1 species
UGCUUGGGAAACUGAUAGUCUAGAGUGAGGGAGAGGCAGAUGGAAUUGGUGGUGUAGGGGUAAAAUCCGUAGAUAUCACCAAGAAUACCCAUUGCGAAGGCGAUCUGCUGGAACUCAACUGACGCUAAGGCGCGAAAGCGUGGGGAGCAAACAGGAUUAGAUACCCUGGUAGUCCACGCCCUAAACGAUGUACACUAGUUGUUGGGGUGCUAGUCAUCUCAGUAAUGCAGCUAACGCAUUAAGUGUACCGCCUGGGGAGUACGGUCGCAAGAUUAAAACUCAAAGGAAUAGACGGGGACCCGCACAAGCGGUGGAGCAUGUGGUUUAAUUCGAAGAUACGCGAAGAACCUUACCUGGGCUUGAUAUCCUAAGAACCUUAUAGAGAUAUGAGGGUGCUAGCUUGCUAGAACUUAGAGACAGGUGCUGCACGGCUGUCGUCAGCUCGUGUCGUGAGAUGUUGGGUUAAGUCCCGCAACGAGCGCAACCCACGUAUUUAGUUGCUAACGGUUAGGCCGAGCACUCUAAAUAGACUGCCUUCGUAAGGAGGAGGAAGGUGUGGACGACGUCAAGUCAUCAUGGCCCUUAUGCCCAGGGCGACACACGUGCUACAAUGGCAUAUACAAUGAGACGCAAUACCGCGAGGUGGAGCAAAUCUAUAAAAUAUGUCCCAGUUCGGAUUGUUCUCUGCAACUCGAGAGCAUGAAGCCGGAAUCGCUAGUAAUCGUAGAUCAGCCAUGCUACGGUGAAUACGUUCCCGGGUCUUGUACUCACCGCCCGUCACACCAUGGG